ACCAAGUUGGUCUUGAGUAAAUUCGCAAUUUUCGCCAUGUACUCCAUGAAAUCCUCCCGAUGGACAUCGAAAAUUCCACUGAAAAAUGUGCGAUCGAACUCAACGGGAAUGUUUUUCGAGAGUUUGUCGUAUUUUUCAAUGAGCUGGGCGUAUUCGUCGAAGGGACGUGGCGGAUCUACUGCCAGAAACUUUUUCACCAAGUCCUCGUCACUCUCAUUGAUUAAUGUCACGUAUUUGUCGAAAUUCUGAAUCUGCAAUUCGGGACCUAUUCUGUGUUCUUGAAUCAAUUCCGUUAUUUGGUUUUUGUACUUGUUCAAGAUGUCGUCGAGGAUCAUUGGCUAUAAAUGUAUCAUAAAUAUCGAUUGUUAACUCUGGUGCGAGAUUAUUGACCGAAGGACAAUACAGGAUGCAUGAAAAUUCAGAGAGGAAGACGUGAUGCGAAUAAAUUAACAAUUAGGCAACCAAUAAUUACAGUGUUUGAACUUUCCGAAAUUUUCGUGCUUCAAACAGAAGAUUUUUCAUAAAUAAUAGUAUCUCAUGAAUUCACAGGUUGUGUAUAAUUGAAUAGAAAUUAAUUUAUACAAGUUUAUUAUGGGGUAAUUGAAAGACCUUGAGAAUUCCUCUGGCGAGAGUAGAUUUGUCAUACAGCUUCCGCUCUAUACGUGGAUAUCCGCAAACAGCUUGAUAGAGAGAUGCCAGCAAUGAGAGAAAUGUAUCCGCGAAUGCUUUGAACGACGGAUCAAAUCCAACGGUUUUACUCCUGACCACCACGUUCACGUUAAAACUGCAUUUCAUGUGCUUAAAUCAGAAAACGAAGAAAUGAAACCAUCAUUCCCUCGAUUUAAUUAUAUUAUUCAAACAGACUUCGUUUCAGUUCAUUCGAGUGCAUCAAACUUUCAUCAAAGUGCUUUUAUAUUUACGUAUACCCCACUGGUUUAUACUCCUUUACUUACGCUUAAUUGUUGCCUAGAUCCUCUAGUCUGCAUAAAAUUAUACAUUUGACAUUUAAUCAUUUCUGAUUAGGUAAGAUUUAUAAUUUAAAUGCAUCAGGUGAUUGUGUACUGAGUUAGUUAAUGAAUAAUCCUUCAUUAUGAUUUUAUUAUUUUUUAGUCAUAAAGUUUUACUCACGGCUACUUUCUCAAGAAACUCCAGGUAAUCCUCCAUCGAAUUAAGGCAUAGACUGCACAGCUGACUCUCCAUGACAAUGGCGAGACAAUUAAAGAACUUGGUGAUUCUAGCUUCAUCGCUAUCACUUGAAGAUGGUGCACGAAACUACUGGAGACAAAAAGGAUCCUGAAGCAGAAAGGAGAAGAGAGGACAGAGGGACGAGAGGAGCUCAUAGGAACUCAGCGAAUAGACUGAAUAAUUAUAAAUACUCAGGAGGACGUGGGGAGGGAUGGUCUGUGUUAGUAGGGACAAGAGAAAAGGAGAGCCAAUGGAGAAAGUGUGAGGUGCAAAAUAAAAUCAAACAAAUAAAUAAAUAAGCAAAUAGCGUACUACCACCAAGUGUCCCAGAGAAUAUCUACACUACCAGAAUAUUAGAAUAUCAGUAAUAAGUUUGGCAUGGAGCUAAUAUUGUUGAAGAAGUCAAUUUUUUUUCUCUGUGCAUUGCAAAAUGUUUGGGACCUCGGUGUAAAAUGAGGCCCAAGGAAACGCUCCAAUGUUUCUCCAUAAAAGUAAGAGAGCGUUGCACCAGAGAAAAAUGGCUAAAGUACUUGGGCAUUCUUAAAAGCCAUAAACACCCUUAAAAUUACCUUUCCUUCCUAGGAUCAUCCAAUAUUGAUGUCGGGGGAGCCAGAACACUCUCUCCAUCUCCAUAAAAUCCGCCUCCCCGAAUUCAUCUCCAGUGGGACACGAAAAUGCUCCAACUCAUCCGCUUUAAUCUGCUGAUGAAAAUUAAAUUUGAAUUUCCCGAGGUAAUUAAUCAGCGUGGCAACUUCACAGCUGACAACGGCUUGCGUCAACUCGGAGUGAAGGAGGAGUUGAAUGAAAAUUACUCGACGAAGGGCUCUUGGAGUUUGAUCUUACCGACUUGGUUUCCAUAGCGGCAUUGUUCAUCGGUUGCCAGGGGUAUGAAUGUAUUUGAAUUGAAUGUGCUUCGGUUAUUCCAGAAUUAACCGCUGUUUGGUGGUUAAUAUCGAUCGAUGGACAUUCAAUUAUUCACGGGAUUAAUUAGCUGGUGGACUUAACCAGGGGUCGUUCAAUAUUAACUUCGUCAACAGCGUUGAUAUGUAGUUAAAGGAAGGAUUUCACUGUCAUGAGCUUUUAAAGACACUGACUAUUGGAGCAAGAUUUGGCAUUAAUUCACGAUUGAUCAUAUAUGCCUCAAAAUUAGUGUCUAAAUUGACUGUUUAUCGCCUGUCCGUCGCCUAGUCACCCAAACAAUGAACUAAAUAUGUAUUAUUCCCUUCACUAGAACGCCUUUUGUUCAUAAUUUUUUUAAUCCGCUUGGAAAGUUCAAUAUUAGAAAGUUUUUGGUUGUCAUAGUAACUCUAAUUCAAUUUUUCAUCAUUAAAAAAUGCAGAAAUAAACAAUAGUUAACUAAAAAAAGUAGUUGUAGGUUCAGGAUAGUAAAUGAAAAUGCAUUAAUUACAUUCAAAUGUUUAUAUUAAUAAAUUUGUAUAUUGUACAUCGAUUUAUACACAAAAAUGUCCACACAGCUUCCAUCAACGUUUUCUCUGCCAUUCGAUUAAUUCUCGUCCCCCGAUUCCAAUUACAUGCAGUGUCAAUACUUGUGAAGGGAUUUGAUAAUUCUCUCCAAUAACAUUGAUUGUCACGUUUACAAUAUGAUAUAACAAUCCUUGAUCCCUUGACUUAAAUCGACACGUAUAAUUAAAAAUUCUCUAAUUUUUUCGCGAUAUAUUUAUCGGUUCAUUCUCUCUCCAUAUGGUCUAGGAAUAUAACGCUUUGUGUAUAAACUAUAUGACAAAUAUUACAGCAAUCGGGGUAAAUACAUAUUUACACACAUACCAUCAUCUUAGCUAUACGUACAGAAUGUUAAUAAAAAUGAGAAAAAAAAGUGCCUAAUUUUCUCGAUUAUUCAGUUCUUUCUCAUUCGCUCGUUUAUUUUUAAACUGUCAUCCAUGGGAUUAUCAUUCAAUAAAUUUGUUUAAAUCACGUAUUUAUGGAAGUAAAUACCGCUGGAGGUAAAGAUUUAUUCGAUUGUGAGAAUAUGUAGGACAAUAGACAAGCAGUGAGCUCCAGUGACCACCGGUGAAUAACUUGAAAUGCCGAAUUAUCGAUUUCCUUGGUCACCCUUUUUAACUCGGUGCUUCACCUGUUUUUUCAUUCUCUCACGUAUAAAGUGGAGCAUUGUAUUUCAUUAUCUCAUGAUCUUUAAUUUUCCCAAAUUUUUAACAAUUUUCCAUGAUUUUUCUACUGUUCUACUGUAUUCCAUUCCACUGUAAACUUCGACGUUUAUGAUUCCGCAUUUUUGCCAUAUUUUUUUCCAAGUACUUUCUUUCGAUUUUUUCAGACAAAAUUCUUCUCCUGACACGUUUCUUCAUGGCCAUCCAUCCAUUUCUUGACCACUUCUCUAUCGAGUCGAUGCGUCACACCGACUCAUACGACUCUGAACGCCUGCUUUUCGAAUUGAUUAUUUCUAAAUCUGUAGAUAGUAUAUUUCGUUACUAAACCGAAAAAAGCUUUUCUCGUUACGAACAUAGGCGCCAGAAAAAUUUUUUCAUGUCGUACAAUGAAGAAUAUUUUUAUGA